UGAAAAAAGUAUUUUACAAAACUAGUUGAGUUAAUUCACAAAUAAUCAAACUUUGAUAAAAGACAAACGAAUUUCAUUUACGUAUUGAUCAACUGCUUCUGUUGCAUUUUACAAAAAUAUUUUUGUUAUUUGAGUUGGUUAUAAGCUACAAAAUUUUAUGUUAUCCAAUACAAAAUUCGGUUUCGGCACUUUGCAACAUGAUAUGUUUUGCUAUACUCUACACACUUGUGACUUUACAGUUAACCCAACUAAAACUAUUUUUUUAACGAAUAGUUGCUGUUUUUCAAGUCUGCUAUAUUAGUCUGUUACCAGCUAAAUAGUAUUGUUGAGAUUUGUUUUGCAAAGUUACUAAAAAUAAACAAAAAAUUUGGCUGAGAUCAACUAAUAUUGAUUAUGUUGGUUUUAGAAUAUUUUUGGUUAUCAAUAAUACAGCAAUAUAAUAGGUGGUGAAUAAAGUUAUGCUGCGCAUAACAAAACGUUUUGGUUACAUGUAGAAACCUGUUCUUCUCGUGUUGCGUUGCGAGUAGGUACUUGCGUGGCGAGUGUAGGUUAGGUAGUGGAUGUGUGUCUGUUGAGCAAUGUGCAUCGUCUAUGGCGAGCGGAAAAGCCGGCGUUUUCGAUUUUAUGCAUGAAUCAAAUAUCAUCAAGCAACGUCAAGAAGAUUUCAAGAAUUGAGCCGCCGCCGGUAGACGAGGCGGCAGAGAAAACGAUCUCGGACUAUCUGCGAUCUUGGGGAUUGGAAGCUUACAUUCCAACAUUUUAGGAAGAAUCCAUUGAUGUGGAGACUCUUCAAAUGUUGUCAGAGGCUGACCUGAAAGACUUAGUGCCAACUAUUGGACACCGAGCUAAGCUGACGACACAAAUCAAACUUUUGACCAAUAUAAUGUCAAAUGCUUUUGAGAACACUUGUACUAAUACUACUCCGGACUCAAACAACCAAAUAAUGCUGUAUACAGUGGAAGAUUUGCCAGUUGUACAGACAUUACCUGAUGAAAAAUGGAAAUGAUCGAAUUUUAAAUACUAUUUUAGUGUAUGUAGCUAGGUUUGGCUAGUAUAGUGUGCUAGCUCUUUGUCUGAAUUAAUUAUAAGUUCCUACUAAAAUUAAUUGAUUUGAUACUUAAUAAAUAAAUAUAAUGUAAAAAACAAAGUUGUUUUUCUUAUUCUAUCUCAAGUUUGUAACCGAAAUGAAUACCAUAGUAGGUAAGAUUUGGGGAAGGAUAUAUCUUGCUAAAACUU